rnacentral:lncRNA from 1 species
UGGAAAUGGACUGGUUAUCCAUCCGUGUAAUUUGCUGGAAGACACCAAUUGGUGCUUCCACCGCACUUAGUCAGGUUGGAAAAAAGGAAAAAAGACCUAUGUAAGCAAAUCCAAAAACUACACUUGCAAGUAAGAAGAACAUUUAUUCAAUCCAGCUACAAAGGAAUGUAGGUUAGCAUUCGCAACUCAAACACAUAUUCCUUUUCCAAAAAAAAAAGACUCAAACACAUAUUCCAUCAC